rnacentral:hammerhead_ribozyme from 1 species
AUCCAGCUGACGAGUCUGAAAUAGGACGAAAUGUGCAUCCUGGAU